GGUUCGAUCCUGGCCAGAUUGAACGCUGGCGGAUGCUUUACACAUGCAAGUCGAACGGCAGCACGGACUUCGAGUCUGGUGGCGAGAGUGGCGAACGGGUGAGUAAUGUAUCGGAACGUGCCUAGUAGCGGGGAUAACUACGCGAAAGCGUAGCUAACAAUGCACACGGGCCCCUGGGGAAAGCGGGGACCUUCGGGCCUCGUCUUAUUAGAGCGGCUUACACGGAUUAGCGAAGUUGGUGGGGUAACGGCUCACCAAGGCGACGAUCCGUAGCUGCUUGAGAGGACGACCAGCCACUGGGACUGAGACACGGCCCUGACUUCCUACGGAGGCAGCAGUGGGGAAUUUUGGACAAUGGGGAAACCCUGAUCCAGCCAUCCCAAGCGUGUGCGAUGAAGGCCUUCGGGUUGUAAAAGCACUUUUUGGCAGGAAGAAACGGCACGGGAUAAUACCCUCGUGCAACUGACGGUACCUGCAGAAUAAGCACCGGCUAACUACGUGCCAGCAGCCGCGGUAAUACGUAGGGUAAGCGUUAAUCGGAAUUACUGGGCGAAGCGUGCGCAGGCGGUUCGGAAAGAAAGAUGUGAAAUCCAGAGCUUAACUUUGGAACUGCAUUUUUAACUACCGAGCUAGAGUGUGUCAGAGGGAGGUGGAAUUCGCGUGUAGCAGUGAAAUGCGUGUAGAUAUGCGGAGGAACACCGAUGGCGAAGCGCAGCCUCCUGGGAUAACACUGACGCUCAUGCACGAAAGCGUGGGGAGCAAACAGGAUUAGAUACUCCUGGUGAACCACGCCCUAAACGAUGUCAACUAUUGUUGGGGCCUUCGGGCUCGCAGAAGCAGCUAAAUGGGCAGAAGUUGACCGCCUGGGGAGUACGGUCGCAAGACGAAACUCAAAGGAAUUGACGGGGACUCCGCACAAGCGGUGGAUGAUGUGGAUUAAUUCGAUGCAACGCGAAAAACCUUACCUACCCUUGACAUGUCUGGAAUCCCAAAGAGAUUUGGGAGUGCUCGCAAGAGAACCGGAACACAGGUGCUGCAUGGCUGUCGUCAGCUCGUGUCGGUGAUGGGUUAAGCCCCGCAACGAGCAACCCUUGUCAUUAGUUGCUACGAAAGGGCACUCUAAUGAGACUGCCGGUGACAAACCGAGUGAGGGAUGACGUCAAGUCCUCAUGGCCCUUAUGGGUAGGGCUUCACACGUCAUACAAUGGUCGGGACAGAGGGUCGCCAACUCCGCGAGGGGAGCCAAUCCCAGAAACCCGAUCGAAGUCCGGAUCGGGUAGUCUGCAACUCGACUGCGUGAAGUCGGAAUCGCUAGUAAUCGCGGAUCAGCAUGUCGCGGUGAAUACGUUCCCGGGUCUUGUACACACCGCCCGUCACACCAUGUGGGAGUGGGUUUUACCAGAAGUAGUUAGCCUAACCGUAAGGAGGGCGAUUACCACGGUAGGAUCCAUGACUGGGGUGAAGUCGUAACAAGGUAG
rnacentral:rRNA from 1 species